AUUGAACGCUGGCGGCAGGCCUAACACAUGCAAGUCGAACGGAGUGGCGGACGGGUGAGUAAUGUAUAGCUAAUCUGCCCUACACUAGAGGACAACAGUUGGAAACGGCUGCUAAUACUCUAUAGUGUAGGAUGAGGCUAUAUUGUAUCAGCUAGUUGGUGAGGUAAUGGCUCACCAAGGCUAUGACGCAUAACUGGUCUGAGAGGAUGAUCAGUCACACUGGAACUGAGACACGGUCCAGACUCCUACGGGAGGCAGCAGUAGGGAAUAUUGCUCAAUGGGGGAAACCCUGAAGCAGCAACGCCGCGUGGAGGAUGACACUUUUCGGAGCAUAAACCCCUUUUGUUAGGGAAGCGGUACCUAACGAAUAAGCACCGGCUAACUCCGUGCCAGCAGCCGCGGUAAUAC
rnacentral:rRNA from 1 species